rnacentral:rRNA from 1 species
AGAGUUUGAUCAUGGCUCAGGAUGAACGCUGGCGGCGUGCUUAACACAUGCAAGUCGAGCGAAGCGCUUUGAAGUUUUCGGACGGAUGAGUGACUGAGCGGCGGACGGGUGAGUAACGCGUGGGUAACCUGCCUCAUACAGGGGGAUAACAGUCAGAAAUGACUGCUAAUACCGCAUAAGCGCACAGUACCGCAUGGUACGGUGUGAAAAACUCCGGUGGUAUGAGAUGGACCCGCGUCUGAUUAGGUAGUUGGCGGGGUAACGGCCCACCAAGCCGACGAUCAGUAGCCGACCUGAGAGGGUGACCGGCCACAUUGGGACUGAGACACGGCCCAAACUCCUACGGGAGGCAGCAGUGGGGAAUAUUGCACAAUGGGCGAAAGCCUGAUGCAGCGACGCCGCGUGAGCGAAGAUAGUAUCUCGGUAUGUAAAGCUCUAUCAGCAGGGAAGAAAAUGACGGUACCUGACUAAGAAGCCCCGGCUAACUACGUGCCAGCAGCCGCGGUAAUACGUAGGGGGCAAGCGUUAUCCGGAUUUACUGGGUGUAAAGGGAGCGUAGACGGAGAGGCAAGUCUGAUGUGAAAGCCCGGGGCUCAACCCCGGGACUGCAUUGGAAACUGUUUAUCUAGAGUGCCGGAGGGGUAAGUGGAAUUCCUAGUGUAGCGGUGAGAUGCGUAGAUAUUAGGAGGAACACCAGUGGCGAAGGCGGCUUACUGGACGGUAACUGACGUUGAGGCUCGAAAGCGUGGGGAGCAAACAGGAUUAGAUACCCUGGUAGUCCACGCCGUAAACGAGAAUACUAGGUGUCAGGGAGCAAAGCUCUUUGGUGCCGCAGCAAACGC